rnacentral:rRNA from 2 species
AUUAGAGUUUGAUCCUAGCUCAGGAUGAACGCUGGCUGUGUGGAUUAGGCAUGCAAGUCGAGUGGGUUUAGACCCACGGCGAACGAGGUAGUAACACGUAGGAACGUACCCUAAAGUCUGGCAUAACUUAUCGAAAGGUAGGAUAAUUCCAGAUGGUCUCGCAAGAGUAAAGAUUUAUCGCUUUAGGAACGGCCUGCGGAGUAUCAGCUUGUUGGUAGUGUAAUGGACUACCAAGGCUAUGACGCUUAGGGGAGGUGAGAGCCUGGCCCCCACCGAUGGUACUGAGACACGGACCAUACUCCUACGGGAGGCCGCAGUCGAGAAUCUUCCGCAAUGGGCGAAAGCCUGACGGAGCGACACAGCGUGAUUGAUGAAGCUCUUCGGAGUGUAAAGGUCUUUUAUAAGUGAAGAAGUUUAUUGACAUUAGCUUAUGAAUAAGGGGUUGCUAAACUCGUGCCAGCAGCAGCGGUAAUACGAGUGCCCCGAGCGUUAUCCGGAAUUAUUGGGCGUAAAGGGUGUGUAGGUGGUUUUGUUAGUCUUUUGUUAAAGACCCGGGCUCAACCCGGGGAGCGCAAAGGAAACGGCAAAACUAGAGAGUGUGAGGGGUGAAUGGAACUCAUAGUGUAGGGGUGAAAUCCGUUGAUAUUAUGGGGAACACCAAAAGCGAAGGCAAUUCACUGGCGCAUUUCUGACACUGAAACACGAAAGCGUGGGUAGCGAAUGGGAUUAGAUACCCCAGUAGUCCACGCCCUAAACGAUGUUCUCUAGCUUUUUGGAGUAUCGACCCUCUAAGAGGCGAAGCUAACGCGUUAAGAGAACCGCCUGGGUAGUACGGCCGCAAGGCUAAAACUCAAAGGAAUAGACGGGGACUUGCACAAGCGGUGGAUUACGUGGUUUAAUUCGAUGAUACGCGAAAAACCUCACCAAGAUUAGACAUCUAGUUUACGUCUUUCUGGAAACAGAAAGUCCUAACGGCUAGACAGGUGAUGCAUGGUCGUCGUCAGUUCGUGGCUUGAGCUGUUCCCUUAAGUGGGGAAACGAACGCAACCCUUAUCGUCUGUUACAAGUGUCAGGCGAGCUCGAAGCAAACUUUGUUUGUUUCAGGCUGGGAGGAAGGUGGGGAUGACGCCAGAUCAGCAUGUCCCUAGAUAUCUUGGGCUACACACAUAAUACAAUGGCUGUGACAACGGGUCGCGACGGGGUAACCCUGAGCCAAUCCUUUAAACACAGCCCCAGUUCGGAUUGAGGUCUGCAACUCGACCCCAUGAAGUUGGAAUCGCUAGUAAUCGCUGGUCAGCAUACAGCGGUGAAUAUGUUCUCAAGUCUUGUACUCACCGCCCGUCAACUCAAGGGAGCUGGGAGUACCCGACAGUCGUCUUUAUGACGGACUAAGGUAAAUUCAGUGACAGGGAGUAAGUCGUAACAAGGCACGGGUAGCGGAAGCUGUUCGUGGAAUAUU